CGAGGUGAUUGCAUGGUGUCAGCCGCGCUCUGACCGUGCUACCCAGCCUUUUCGGCUUCUACUAAGCUAAGCCAGGCAUGGUACCAUGUACCAGCCAGUCGCACCACUGCUAUUGAAAAGUACAACACGGCGCACAGGUAUGAAAUCACUUCUCUUUCUCCGAAUGUGGUGCAAGGUUGAUCAGCGAUUGUUAGAGUCUCCAUUUGUUUUACGAAACUUCUAAUAAUAACACAGGCCGGUGAACUAGCUGCAGGGGAAGAGCGUCUGCGUGAGGUCUUCCAACAAGUUCAACAACUGAAGGCUAUGCAAAGACUGCAUUGAUUUUUGCUGUCAACAAUUCGAUCAAGUUAAAAGUUGCCUCGUCCGCAAUCAAUCACUCGGACGUCAUGGUUGGAUGCGAUCGAAGAAGCCGUUCCAUUCUAGCCGUUUUCCUCCUAAUCCUCUUUGCGGCAUGCCUGAUAGGCGGAGCGGUCCUGAUUGAUUGGGGAGUCAACGCUGGACCAGAUUUUAGCGGUGGGAUCAUAAUUGGGUUGGGAGUUCUCUGCUUGUUCAUUUGUAUACCUUUUGGCCUCGCAGGCUGUGUGCUUGGGUGUCAGGUCCGACUUGAGAGUCAAAAUUUCAACAGAGCUCUGAGGCAAUGUUCCCAUGAAAGCGCAAGCAUAGCCCAGCCAGUUAGAAAAGGAACUGCUGCAGCUGCUGUUCCCGGCGCCGCCGUCAUCCCGAACGCAAUCAUCCUACCCACUUACAAUCCAGUUGGACCGGUAAUGGCAAUGCCAGUCACACAUCCUGCUUAACAAUUACAUUAUAUUGUGGCAUACGACUACUGGUCCCGAACACAACCAGCAACAGCAACAUGAGCAGCGACAGGCGUAGCAGCAGCAGCAACAGGAGCAGCAGCAGGAGCAGCAACAACAGCCUCAGGAUGAGCAAACCACCGCAUCCGUCCCCUCUGCGCCGCCGUUACUGGAAUCUGCCAGGAGCGAUGCUCCUCCGAGCUUUUCACAAGUAUUUGCUACUGAAGACUUAGUGACUAACACAAAAGAACUGUUCACACCUUGUUUGUACUACGGAACAGGUACAUGUUAUAAUAAUACUAAUAAUAAUAACUUUAAACUCGGAUACUGAGCAAGUAAUAAAAUGUAAAAAAGAGAAGAAACACUGUUUAUCAUCUGACUGUUUAUCAUCUCGUUACAGUCGUGGAUAGUUGCUGCAUAACUCGUUCUCAUGUGUUUCUUCUCUUUUUUAAAUAAUAACUUUAUUAGGAAGACCCAAAGGCUGACCGCCUAUCGUGGGGUCCGACGCAUUCAAGGAUGUAUAAUGACACAUUGUGUUGCCCGAACCAUGAUUAACGUGAAACUCGGAGGUACACCACCAUGCACUGUACAAUGUACAUGCAAGUCUAGGCUCUUCUCUCACUUCUGUCUGCUUUAUAAUAGUCUUAUCAUUCUACAGCAGAUAUCUCUUUAUUUGAUUACAAUAGAAUCGUCUUAGCUUGUUGGCAAUCCGUUACAUUUGAAAUCUACACGUGUACCAUAUACAUUGUAGGAUUGGGGUUCGAAGCUUCCCAGAUGUUUCCUAAAAUGCAUAUGACACCUCGCUUUCAAGAAACACUGGGAAGUUCACUUAUCUUGGACUUCUCCGGGGCCAAUUGUUUCGUAUACGUGCGUCAAGCCAAAUAUUUUUUUAUUAUUAAGUUGCGUUUCCCAACCCUUUUCGCAAUGUGUAGAAAAACAGUGCUUAAGCAGUUCCCCAUACCCAUUCCAUGCAAGUGAGGCGGAGAACUCAGUGAUGACGAGUUGUGGCACACAAUAUUUAACAAUUACAUUUCCAAGCCAGCGACCGUCCCAGUCGCAAAGCCCAGGCAACUAUUUCCCAUACAUACGAAGAUGGCACCGAUCAGGUCAGAAAUCAUCGCCACGAGCAACAGCAAGAGGCGCAGCAGCAGCAGGAGCGGCAACACCAGUCUCAGGAGCAGCGGGAUGUGCAAGCCACCUCUUUGGCCCCCUCCGCGCCGCCGUUAGAGUCGGCCAACAACGAUGGUCCUCCGCGCUAUUCCCAUUUAUUUGUGGCUAGUCCACGUCUUAGUAAUUGAAAGAAAGGCUAAUCACAGUGGUAUAAUUGUUGUAGCAUUGUACAGUAUAACACAUUAAAUUGUGUCUAUGCCACCACUCCGACAAGGCGCCCAACCGCAAAACCACCAGCAAGAGCAGUGGAAUCAGUCAUGCUACCAGCAACAGCAGUGGAACCAGUCACGGUACCAGCAACAGCAGUGGCAGCAGCUACUGUAGUCUGCAGUGGCAGCAGCAGAGGCCGCAGCAGCAGCAAUAGUGGCAGUAAUAGCUGUCUCUGCCGCAUCAGCACCAACCUCAACAUUAGGAGCAAUAGCAGCAGCACCAGCAGCAACAGCAACAUACAAACACUUAAUUGACAGUAGCCGGAGUAAGCAGCUGCCCUAUUCCGCUUUGCAUCACUGGAUCAUCCCAGCAGCUAUUUUUCAAUAUUGACAAAAGAAUCAUGAUACCUACGUAACUUGA